AUGAAACAUCUCAGCUGGAACUGCCGGGGGCUUGGGAACCCCGAGGCAGUUCGGGAGCUUCGUAAAAUUGCGAAGCAGAAAGGGCCCAACCUAAUUUUUGUGAUGGAAACAAAGAUUAGGGCGAAGAGAGUCGAAAAUCUGAAGCAUACACUUGGUUUUUCGGGCUGUUUUGCUGUUGACAGUGCAGGGCUUAGUGGUGGCCUCGGCUUGUUUUGGUCAAGUGAGAUCUCUGUUGAUCUU
rnacentral:rRNA from 1 species